rnacentral:rRNA from 1 species
CUGGCUCAGGAUGAACGCUGGCGGCGUGCUUAACACAUGCAAGUCGAACGGAGUUUUAAACGGAAGUCCUCGGAUGGAAGUUAGAAACUAGUGGCGGACGGGUGAGUAACGCGUGGGUAACCUGCCUCAUACAGGGGGGAUAACAGUCGGAAACGAUUGCUAAAACCGCAUAACAUAGCGAAACCGCAUGAUUUUUGCUAUCAAAUAUUUAUAGGUAUGAGAUGGGCCCGCGUCUGAUUAGCUAGUUGGUGGGGUAAUGGCCUACCAAGGCGACGAUCAGUAGCCGGCUUGAGAGAGUGACCGGCCACAUUGGGACUGAGACACGGCCCAAACUCCUACGGGAGGCAGCAGUGGGGAAUAUUGGACAAUGGGGGAAACCCUGAUCCAGCGAACCGCCGCGUGAGUGAAGAAGUAUUUCGGUAUGUAAAGCUCUAUCAGCAGGGAAGAUAAUGACAGUACCUGACUAAGAAGCCCCGGCUAACUACGUGCCAGCCGCAGC